rnacentral:rRNA from 1 species
AACGCGAAGAACCUUACCUGGCCUUGACAUGCUGGUAGUAGAAGCCGGAAACGGUGACGACUCCUCGCAAGAGGAGAGCCAGCACAGGUGCUGCAUGGUUGUCGUCAGCUCGUGUCGUGAGAUGUUGGCUUAAGUGCCGCAACGAGCGCAACCCCUGUGUUUAGUUGCCUGCGAAAGCGGGAUCUCUAAACAGACUGCCUCGCUUUAAACGAGGAGGAAGGUGGGGAUGACGUCAAAUCAGUAUGGCCCUUACGGCCAGGGCUGCACACGUGCUACAAUGCAUGGUACAGAGGGACGCAAGACCGCGAGGUGGAGCAAAUCCCAUAAAACCAUGCCCAGUUCAGAUUGAAGGCUGCAACUCGCCUUCAUGAAGCCGGAAUCGCUAGUAAUGGCGCAUCAGCUACGGCGCCGUGAAUACGUUCCCGGGCCUUGUA